CUUCAACCCCUCUACAAUGAGUUAGUUUGCCAUCUAUAAUCUCUUAAGGAAUACUCAAAAUUUAGAAUAUUUUGAUCUUCUUAAGCAAAGAGCAGAGGCAUCUCUUCGUAAAGCAUCUCUGCAACUGCACAUCUGAUUGCAGCAUGGACAUUUCCAGAGUUUGCCUCUUGGAAAGAGUUCAUAAAUCAGUUUACAGAAAGCACAGAGAUAGCAUGACCGCUUAGAAACAAAUGAACAAUGAAGAGCGCUCCACGUCCCUGGAGGUAAUUCCCUCUACACGAAUCUCAGGGAGUUGAACGUGAACUUGCUUCACUCUUCCUCCCUCUUUUCCGAAAGCGCACUCCCUGAGGGCAAAGCGAGAAAGCGGUCCCAGCCAGCAACUCUGGGAAGAAAGGACAAGUAAGGAGCCGCGCCCCUGGAAAGGAUGCGGAUCAAAAAGCUCCUGCCUCAACGGUACCUCUUUGCUGAUGCGCCUGUGGCUGUCGACGCUGUGGGAAUCGCUGCUCCUGGCUGUCCCCGAGGCCCCCAGUGAGCAGCAGGAAAAGGAGGACCCCGGCGGCCCCCGGCAUCGUGGUGGCCCGGAGCGAAUCCACUUCUCAGGAGCUUCUCAGAGUCACUCUGCCUGGUCCCCUGGUCCUGGUUUGAGAGCUGAGUGAGCAGCAGCUGCUAGGGAAGAGGAGGAGACAGCCCUCCCUGGCUUUGGCUCAGCCGCCGCCCGAGGGUGGGGGGAGAAAGAGGACACUCCCCCACUCUCCCCCUUCGCAGGCGCUCGGCCCCACAGACACCCAGGCUCAGGCCUUUAAAGGGUCCUCCUGCAAAGGCCGAAUUUCCCACAGCGCGCCUUCCUCUGCGAUGGGAUCAUUCCUUAGCCUGAUCCAUUACCUAAACUUCUUUAAAAUUACAAAAGUUGUUGACACCAACCAAAGUACUUUGGGAUCUGUGAAAUCCCUACACAUGGAAAACAUUAUUUGUGGCAAAUCCAUACAGUUAGGAACUCUGGCUCCUGAGAACGUCCUGGCAAAACUGCAGCUGUUGUGAAUCCAGGUAAUUCAAGACCCUCCCAAGUUUCCAGAGUUCCUCAAGUGGCCCCUGGGAACCCUGAACUUCAGGCCAGGGGAUGGUAUAUAAGGUUGUCAAGGCAACAGAGGUUUGGCAAAAUAAAUUACGCCCCUGGAUCUCCUGAAAUGUUUCUCAUCAAUAUAAUGCUUAGAAUUAAAGCUUUCCCCUUAUUCCAGGAGACAUUUAUUUAAAGGAUAAAAGUUUUGCAAUGAUUUCCUUUCAGAUCCAAAGUUUCACUUCUUUCAGUCCUAAUGUCUUCCCUUUAACUCAAUUGAAGUGCAUUUUUCCCUUCCUAGUUUUUAUUUUAAUAUAUAUUAUCAUUAUUAUUUGCUUGUUAUGGCCUAGAUCAGUAGUUCUCAUAAAAUUUGAAACAGUUCUUUAAAGGGUUUAAUGAAACUUGCAAGACGUCCAUUUUCUGUUCAGGGAUUGGGUGGACACUACAGUCAUUAAUGUGGGGUACAGUCAGGAGACUAGUUGUCUCUCAAUGGACAGACAGUCCUACACUGUAAAUUAUCCCUCCUGGACUUCUCAAUAAGCCACUGGAUAUUCAUGCAGAUUUAAAAUAAACUUGUUAUAUUUGAAAAACAAAUGUUUCAUAUAAAUCUUCGAUGUGUGAUUUUUAUUUUCCCAGAUGUAUCUGUAAUAUAAAUUGAGGAAAUACUGUAUUUUGUCAUUCUGUAGUUUACUAAAAGUUC